rnacentral:rRNA from 1 species
UGCAAGUCGAGCGAAGCACUUGUGAAAGAUUCUUCGGAUGAUUUCAUUUGUGACUGAGCGGCGGACGGGUGAGUAACGCGUGGGUAACCUGCCUCAUACAGGGGGAUAACAGUUGGAAACGACUGCUAAUACCGCAUAAGCGCAUAGUACCGCAUGGUACAGUGUGAAAAACUCCGGUGGUAUGAGAUGGACCCGCGUCUGAUUAGCUAGUUGGUGGGGUAACGGCCUACCAAGGCGACGAUCAGUAGCCGACCUGAGAGGGUGACCGGCCACAUUGGGACUGAGACACGGCCCAAACUCCUACGGGAGGCAGCAGUGGGGAAUAUUGCACAAUGGGGGAAACCCUGAUGCAGCAACGCCGCGUGAGUGAAGAAGUAUUUCGGUAUGUAAAGCUCUAUCAGCAGGGAAGAAAAUGACGGUACCUGACUAAGAAGCCCCGGCUAACUACGUGCCAGCAGCCGCGGUAAUACGUAGGGGGCAAGCGUUAUCCGGAUUUACUGGGUGUAAAGGGAGCGUAGACGACGAGACAAGUCUGAAGUGAAAGCCCGGGGCUCAACCCCGGGACUGCUUUGGAAACUGCCUUGCUAGAGUGCUGGAGAGGUAAGUGGAAUUCCUAGUGUAGCGGUGAAAUGCGUAGAUAUUAGGAGGAACACCAGUGGCGAAGGCGGCUUACUGGACAGUAACUGACGUUGAGGCUCGAAAGCGUGGGGAGCAAACAGGAUUAGAUACCCUGGUAGUCCACGCCGUAAACGAUGAAUGCUAGGUGUUGGGGAGCAAAGCUCUUCGGUGCCGCCGCAAACGCAUUAAGCAUUCCACCUGGGGAGUACGUUCGCAAGAAUGAAACUCAAAGGAAUUGACGGG